rnacentral:lncRNA from 1 species
AUGGCCGAGGAAGACACUGCUGCUGGCGGUGUAAUGGAUGUUAACACUGAUUUACAAGGGGUGCUGAAGGACGCCUUCAUCCACGGUGGCCUAGCACAUGGAAUUCGCCAAGCUGCCAAAGCCUCAGACGACUGCUGAGCCCAUCUUGGUGUGCCUGCAUCCAACUGUGAUAAGCCUGCAUGUGCCACAUUAGGGAGACCCUAGGUGCUGAACACCAGGUCAAACUAAUUAAGAUUGAUGACAAUGAGAAACGAAAGGAAUGGGUAAGGCCUCUGUAAAACGACAGAGAGGGGAGACCCUAUGAAGGGGCUAGCUGCAGCUAUGUAGCAGUUAAGGACUUUGGCAAAGAAUCUCGGGCCAAGGAUGUGAUUGAGGAGUGCUUCACAUGCAAGAAAUGA